rnacentral:lncRNA from 1 species
GGACCUCGUUUUCCACGCGCAGGGAUCCAUCGCGGGCGGCCGCAGGGCGGCAAAGAGCUGAGUGACUCUGAAGUGCUGAGAAGUUCCGAAUAGGUAGAUGAAAGACUAAAAGAUGCUGUUUAAGUUCCACCUUCCCCUGAAGAUGAUACUUUUUUUUUUUUUUUCUGCACAGCUAUUUCUUUUUCAAAGUGCUUGGCAAUCCUUAAGCAAUCAAUCUUACAGCCCAAGGAGAACGGUAUCAUUAUAGCUAUUUAGUGACUGGAGGAAUUAAGGCAUUGAGCACUCCAUUGCCUUGCCCAAGGCCAUUGAAAAAUUAAGAUUAGAGAACUAGAAUUAAAAGUCACAAGGGAAGACUUGGCUUCUCUGAGACAAUCGUGGGAAAGGAAAUUAUUUAUUCUGGAAAUUUAAAUAGUCAUCUUGGAAACUUCAGUGAAAUCAGAGAGCAAAAACAGCCUUUCUCCUCGUCCCCCAGCUCAACAAUAAUUUAGCAGUAAUUAUGAUAAUGAUUGCUAAAUGAUUUGUGUGCUGCUCAGGCUGGGAGUUCCCAGGGCUGAGCUCCCAUGUGGCCCCCCUCAGCUCCCGCUCUGUGAUUUACCUAGGGCCAUCCCAUGGCUGCACUGACUGCUCUGGACCAGCCACCCUGUGCAGCGCUGGUGUGGACAGCCCGGGAGUGACCUGCCCGGCUCCCUCACCGGGAAGUCCCUGAAAGGGAUGCACUUGGUGAUUUAUUGUUGGAUGGAAGUUUCUAUUAAACAACCCUUCCUUUCCCAGCCUAGCUCUCGGACUCACAUUUACCUCUGCUUUCUCUGAAGACGAAGUGGAAACCUCUGCCCAGCCUGGUUGGUAUAAGUGGGAGGAGUGGUCCCUGGAGGAGGAGAGACCUUGCUGCAAGGCCUGGGGUGAGUCUGCUGGUCACACGAUUGUUCACAUGUUACCUAACCUCUAAUCUCAGUUUCUUUAUAAUUAAAUGGGGCCAUUGUAUUCCUCACUGGGGUUUUCUUGUGGUUAAAUGUAGCAUUGAAAUCCCCUGGCACUACCCUACCUCUCCUCACCAAUCCUUCUAACGCUUUCUCUGGAAGUUUGCCACUCAAGUCUCAAGGCUGAGAGUAGCUAAAAUUUAUAAAAAUUUAUUCACUCGUUAUAGUUAUAUUUAAAUACCACAUUUUACUUUUGUAGGACUUAGAAGAAUACAUCAGAAUUGUUAAAGUAAGACGUCUGUAUCACCAUUCGCGUGUUCAACACAAUGCUUGCAGAUGGCCCCAUCUUUCCUAUUCAGGGCAAUUUGGAGUGCAGCAAAUGUGCCACAAUUAAGAAAACUGAAAUGGAACAUAACUUCUUUAAUAUUCCUUUUUAGGCUAAGCAUCAAGCACAAGUGAGUUCUCAUUUACUUUUAUCCAAACCACAUUCAGAACUUGAUCCAGAUCUCUCUGUUAGCUUCCGUUAUCUGUACUUGAUGUUCACACUCAUGAACCCUUCUAUC